ACUCCUACGGGAGGCAGCAGUAGGGAAUCUUCCACAAUGGGCGAAAGCCUGAUGGAGCAACGCCGCGUGGGUGAAGAAGGUCUUCGGAUCGUAAGACCCUGUUGUUAGAGAAGAAAGUGCGUGAGAGUAACUGUUCACGUUUCGACGGUAUCUAACCAGAAAGCCACGGCUAACUACGUGCCAGCAGCCGCGGUAAUACGUAGGUGGCAAGCGUUAUCCGGAUUUAUUGGGCGUAAAGGGAACGCAGGCGGUCUUUUAAGUCUGAUGUGAAAGCCUUCGGCUUAACCGGAGUAGUGCAUUGGAAACUGGGAGACUUGAGUGCAGAAGAGGAGAGUGGAACUCCAUGUGUAGCGGUGAAAUGCGUAGAUAUAUGGAAGAACACCAGUGGCGAAAGCGGCUCUCUGGUCUGUAACUGACGCUGAGGUUCGAAAGCGUGGGUAGCAAACAGGAUUAGAUACCCUGGUAGGAUAGCG
rnacentral:rRNA from 1 species